rnacentral:lncRNA from 1 species
AUGGCUCCUGCUGUUCUCCCAGUCAGGGAUGACAGCUCCUGUCCAUCCAUCCUUCUGUGUGCAGCAUCUGGCAAGGCGGUGGUCACACCUACACACGUCUGUGCCAAUGCGGGGAUGUCACUGCAGUGGGAUGUGGUGGCAUUUGGGGUUUACAUGGCACCCACAGGCACACAUCCACAUCCACGUGCAACUGCACAAACUCAUGCACACACCCUCAUACUCACAUAUAUCCUGUGCACUCACACAUGGAUAUACACAUCCAUGCAUGCUUGCAUGUACAGAUGUGUGCAGCUGCACACCCACACGCACAUUCAUGAGUGCACACGUGUGCUGCCCCCACCCCACACUGAGCCAUCUCCUGCCUGCUGCUCCUUCCCUGCCUGUGCCCUGCCAUGUUCCAGACCCCACAGGCCACCAGCACCCCACAUGUGGCCAUGCCCCCCAGAAAAGCCCCGGGGCAGCUCAGCUGGAUGUGGGGAGUGGGUGACCCCCCCCAGCCUGUCCCCGUCAGCUGGUGGCCAUGUGUGGGAUGUGCAGCUGAGUACACAGCUCUUGCCAUCCAUCUUGUCACCUGUCAGGGCCAGAGGCUGCUGUGGACCCCCAGACAUGGCUCAGCAAGACUCUGGGGUGAGAGGAGGGCAGAGUGGGGGUGCCCCUCUCUGUACACCUGCCUUCUCCCUGCCUUCUCCCAGCCUGCUUCCUGCCUGUCAUGCCAAGGGCCUGCCCAUCCCCAGCUUUGCCCCUGGCACUGUCUGCAGGUACCCUUUUGUGGGGGUCUGCACCUGGGCAGGGGCUGCAGAAGAAGGCUGGGGUCCCUUAAGGGAACUGAUGAGAGAACUGGGAACUGGUGAGAGCUGUCAGUGUCACGCAGUGCACAUCCCUGCCCUUCCUCAUCCCCAGGAGGAUCCCUGUCUUCUUGCUCAGCCCUGCAUGUCCCCAGCCCCUGGAGUGGCCCUGCAUGUCCCCUUCCCCAGCAAGACCACCAGCCCCCAGCCCAUCUCUCUUGCCCCCCACCGUGUGAUUUACAGGCUCUGCACAGGCAGACAAAUGGUGAAGGAAAACAGGGCAGGGGGUCCCGCCAGCCAGGGGCUGCCUGUGCCCCGCGGGGGGCAGAGGGGCCGUUUGCUCACAGCCAGCAGGACAGGAGGCAGUGAAGUGGUGCCGGUGCCAGUCAGCACAGCUGCCCCUGUCAUGGUCCAGCAGCCACAAGCCCUAAAAGCACAAGGAGUGCCCAUGGUAGGACCCAGACCUAGUUAUCACAAGAUGUAG